CACCCUUUUAAGCGCAGUCCCGUGAGGCUGCAAAAGGGGCGGAAUCGUUUCGGCUGUUUCUGCACCCUCUUUGCGUCUUCGCGGGCAAAGAGGGAUUUUUUU
rfam:Geobacillus kaustophilus HTA426 DNA, complete genome.